GGUUCGCCCCGCGUCGUGCGCGCGCGCCCUGUUUCCCGCGGUUCAGCGGCGGGCCCCUUGGAAGCUAAGGGGGGUGGCGGGAAAAAGACCCUGGGCCUUUUGUAGAGGAAGCUGAGCGCUCGGUUCCCGAAGGCGGCCGGAACCAUGGCGAAAGAGGAGGAGGAGGGGGAUAAGAAAGAAAAGGGAGAGGAAGAAGGAGAGGCCAAGGAGGCGCCGGGGAAAGAGGGGGAGCUGAAGGUCCCCGAGGAGAUGUUCAAAGAGGUCAAGUUCUUCGCGGUGGGAGACAUAGACCCCAAGGUUAUUCAACUUCUGAAAGAUGGUAAGGCAAAAGAAGUUAAUUACAAUGCUCUGGCAUCACACAUCAUUUCAGAAGAUGGAGACAAUCCAGAAGUGGGUGAAUCUCGUGAAGUAUUUGAUCUUCCGGUGGUAAAGCCAUCCUGGGUGACUUUGUCAGUUCAGUGUGGAGCUCUUCUGCCAGUAAAUGGGUUUUCUCCAGAAUCCUGUCAGAUCUUUUUUGGAGUUGCUGCUUGUCUAUCUCAGGUUUCCUCUGAAGACCGGAGUAUCCUGUGGGCUUUGAUUACAUUUUAUGGUGGGGAAUGCCAGCUCAGCCUCAGUAAAAAAUCUACUCAUUUGAUUGUGCCUGAACCAAAAGGGGAAAAAUAUGAAUGCGCCUGUAAAAAAGAGAACAUUAAAAUUGUGACACCUGACUGGGUUUUAGAUUCUAUAUCUGAUAAAACAAAAAAAGACGAGGUUCCUUAUCAUCCUCGAUUAAUUAUAUAUGAAGAGGAAGAGGAGGAGGAAGAGGAGGAAGAAGAAAACGAAGAACAAGAUUCACAAAAUGAAGGUAGUACUGAUGAAAAGUUAUCAAGUCCAGCAUCUUCUCGAGAAGGCUCACCUUCAGGUGAUCAAGCUUUUUCACCUAAAUCUGUUGCUGCUGACAAAACAAAAGGAGAAUUGAUGUUUGAUGAUUCAUCAGACUCUUCUCCUGAAAAGCAUGAAAGAAAUUUAAACUGGACACCUGCUGAAGUUCCACAGACUGCUACAGCAAAGUGCAGAUUGCCAUCUGGCAAAGAUUCAGGAUUGAUUAACUUGUGUGCCAAUGUUCCACCUGUUCCAGGCAAUAUUUUGUCCUCUGAGAUCAGAAGUAAUAUAAUGACUUCAGUACAAAAUCCCCAAAGUUCUGGGCGUCCUGAAAUGAUGGCAACAUGGAGUCCAGCUGUACGGACGCUAAGAAAUAUUACUAAUAAUGCUGAUAUUCAGCAGGUUAAUAGGCCAUCAAAUGUAGCACAUAUCUUGCAGUCACUUUCAGCACCUACAAAAACUUUGGAGCAGCAGGUAAACCACAGCCAACAGCAGGGACAUUCAAAUGCAGUGUUGCUUAGUCAGGUUAAACUGACUCCAGAAACACACUUACUGCAACAACAGCAUCAACCACAACAGCAUCAACCUCAACAACAACAGCAGCAGCAGCAGCAACAACACCACCCUCUUUUACAUCUUCAACCCCAGCAUAUCAUGCAGUUGCAGCAACAGCAGCAGCCCCAGCCGCAGCAGCCUCAGAUUACUCAGCAGCCUUUCUCACAGCAGCCUCAUCAGUUUGCACAGCAGCAGCAGCAACAGCAACAGCAACAGCAAGUUCAUCAGCACCAAUUUUCCCAGCAGCAGGUACAGUUUCCUCCCCAGCAGCUACAUUCACAACAAAUGCAUCGCCCUCCACAACAGUUGCAGUUUCAGCAGCAGCAUGCCUUACAGCAGCAGUUGCAUCAGCUGCAGCAGCAGCAGUUGCAUCAGCAGCAGUUGCAACUACAACAGCAAAACCUUCAGCAGCAACUGCAGCAGCAGCAGCAGCAACAGCAGCAGCAACAGAUUCAACAGCAACAACUACAGCAGCAACAUUUGCAGCGAAUGCAGCAGCAGCAGCAGCAACUGCAAAGCCAGGCAUCACAACACUUGACUCAGACAUCUCAAACUCAGACACUACAACAGCAUCAGGUUCCCGUUCAGCAGCCACAACAUCCACAGCAGCAGCAACAGCUUCAGCAACACCAGCUAUUUGGACAUGAUCCAUCUGUGGAUGUUCCUGAAGACUAUUUCUUGUUGGGUUGUGUCUUUGCAAUUGCUGAUUAUCCUGAACAGAUGUCUGAUAAACAGCUGUUGGCAACAUGGAAACGGAUAAUCCAAGCACAUGGGGGUACAGUGGAUCCUACACUCACAAAUCGGUGUACACAUCUUCUCUGUGAAAGCCAACUUAGUAAUAUGUAUGCUCAGGCAUUGAGAGAAAGGAAGAGAUGUAUCACAGCACACUGGCUGAACUGUGUGCUAAAAAAAAAGAAAAUGGUACCACCCCAUCGAGCUCUUCAUUUUCCAGUUGCAUUUCCACCAGGAGGGAAACCAUGUUCUCAGCAUAUAAUCUCAGUGACAGGCUUUGUUGACAGUGAUAGAGAUGAUCUCAAACUGAUGGCCUAUCUAGCAGGUGCAAAGUAUACAGGCUAUCUUUGUCACAGCAAUACAAUUCUCAUCUGUAAAGAGCCUACUGGCUUAAAAUACGAGAAAGCCAAAGAGUGGAGGAUACCAUGUGUGAAUGCACAAUGGCUUUGUGAUAUAUUACUUGGGAAUUUUGAAGCACUACGGCAAAUACAGCACAGUCGAUAUACAGUAUUCAACCUUCAAGAACCCCUUGCUCCUAAUCAGCAUCUAGUUCUAAACCUGCUUGAUGCUUGGAGAGUGCCAUUGAAGGUAUCAUCAGAACUUCUAAUGGGUGUAAGAUUACCACUUAAACCAAAGCAAAACGAAUCAGUCAUUCAACCUUCAAUCAAGCGACCAAGAAUUGAAGACUUGCCAGCACCUACUAAAAAGCUGACCCCAGAAUUGACACCAGUGGUGCUUUUCACAGGAUUUGAGCCUACACAGGUCCAUCAGUACAUCAAGAAACUAUACAUUCUUGGGGGCGAAGUCGCAGAAUCUGCUCAGAAAUGCACUCAUCUAAUAGCUAGUAAAGUGACUCGUACUGUAAAAUUCCUAACAGCAAUUUCAGUUGUAAAACACAUAGUAACCCCAGACUGGUUAGAAGAAUGUUUCAAAUGCCAGACAUUUAUAGAAGAGCAAAGCUACAUACUCAGAGAUGCAGAAGCUGAAGUUCUUUUCUGUUUCAGCUUAGAAGAAUCUCUAAAGAGAGCACAAGCAGCACCACUCUUUAAGGGGAAGUACUUCUAUAUUACACCUGGUAUUUGCCCAAGCCUUUCCACCAUGAAAUCUAUUGUGGAAUGUGCAGGUGGGAAAGUAUUGUCCAAACAGCCUUCUUUCCGAAAACUCAUGGAACAUAAACAAAAUAAAUUUCAUUUUUUUAAAUCUAGAGCUUGUCAGAGAUUAUCCUGAUUUCUUGUGAAAACGAUCUUCAUUUAUGUCGAGAAUACUUUGCAAGAAGCAUAGAUGUCCACAAUGCAGAGUUUGUUUUGACAGGUGUUCUUACCCAAACACUGGAUUAUGAAUCAUAUAAAUUUACUUGACCAGGAAAUAAAAUGCCUUAAAGCUUCAAAACUUUUGAAGCCUUCCCUCAAGUUUUUCCAGCCUGUAGAUCAAUCAGUCAGUAUUUCUUUGAGUACUCAUUUUCUACUCUUUUUUUUUUGGAAGGGCAAUAAACAGGUUAAGGCAGGAGAGCAAACAUUUACUACAUCUAUUUAAGAUGUGCAACCUUUAAUUAUUAAAACAUAAUUAACUAUGUUUUUGUAUUAUACUACCAACUAGAGAGAGUUUAGUUUUUAUAUUGCAAAUUAGUUUUCCUGGUUUUCUUUUUAGGUUUUAACAAUCGGUGGUACUUAACCAAAAUCAAAAUUGAAAUGUAAAGAGAAGGGCUUUGUGGCAUGUUUUAAAUUAUGAAGGUAAAUAUUUUGUACUUUAUUUUUUACAAUUUUUUUUUAUAUUGAUACAAUCUCAGUUUUUAAAUAAACAUACUUUUAAAAGAUUUUUCUUUAAAAUUUACUAGUGGUUCUUUUUAAAAAAUAUUGUGCAAUUGUGGCACUCUCUGGUAAGAGUAAAUUACUCUAAUUAUUCUUCCAAAUGCUGUAAGAUAUUCUUCCACUUAUUUUACCAGGUGUGUUUUAAUAUUGAAAGCCAAGUAUUUUAAGCAGAAUUUAUUGAUAACGUUUUGUGUGUUUCUACUGAAGUUAGCUUGAACUCACCCUUACUCAGCUGUGAUAAGUUUUCUUGUAAUUUUUAUGAAAUAAAUAUGCAAAAAGGAUUUUAUGAAUGCAGUUAUUUCAUCCAAAGUGAUUUGCUUUUGAAAAUUGCUAUUGUAUGUAGUUUAUUUAAUUACAUAUUGAAUGUUGUGUUUAAAAAUAAAGUCUGUUUCAUCAGGAGCAAGGUUGGAGUAAUGUACAGCCUUUGGUUAUAUAUGGUUCUUUUGUGCAAGUGACAAGUUCUUGGUUGAAAUCCAAAAACUGGUAUUUUAGAAAUAUCCUUUAUGUAUGCAGCCAACAUAAAAUGCAAGGCAAAUCUUAUUGGAUUCUCUCCAUUGACUAAAUCUGGCAGGAAAUCUCAUCUGACAUUGUUUUGAGGAUUUCAGUAAUUUGGGUUUUGGAAUAUCAUAGAGGUGAGAAUGUACACAGCCUGAGAUAACUCAGCAUUUAUCUCACUUGACAAUGUGCCAUGGUGCUUGUAGUUUCUGAAACAAAGGGCCAUGUGUAGAAAAAGGCAUCUUUAAUUCAAAUGGAAUUAAUUCUGAUGGUUUAAUGUUUUGGUCUGACACUGCUGCUUUCUGUUCAUUGCCUGUAUCCUUGUGAUGACACUGCAUUAGCUGCUACAGAUUAAGUUUUUUUCUCCUGCUGAAACUACAUAAUUUGAAUUACUGGAAAUAUAUGCUUAAACCAGUUUCACAUUGAUCUUGCAUACUUUUUAAAAAGCACUGCUAGUGGUAGGUUUGGCAACCAUAUCAGUGAAUAUUUCAGUGAGUAAUUGGCUGUGCAACUCUUGGAAGAUAUUUCUGCUGCUUUACUUACAUUGGAGAAUUGCACAUCCUCCAUAAAAAGUACUAAAAUGUCCACUAUAAUAGUAAUGUAAAUAGCGUGCAGGCAAUAUUAAUCUCUAGCAGAAACAUAUGCAAAUAUUUGCAGUACUUAAAACAAACCAUGUUUUUACAUUACUUUCUGUGAUGGUUACUUCUUUUUGAGCUGGAGAGCUGGAAAUUUUGUGUCUAUAUUUCUCACCAGCAGAAACCUCUUUCAUACUUGUGUUCUGUAUGCAUUUCAGUAUUUUAUGUAUGUUCAUGCUUAUAAAGAAUUUUGAACACGG